GGGGGGUUAGCUCAGCUGGGAGAGCGUCUGGUUCGCAAUCAGAAGGCCGAGGGUUCGAUCCCCUUACCCUCCACCA
rnacentral:tRNA from 1 species